ensembl:lncRNA
GCAAACAUGAAAAAUACAGAAGUAGUGCUGGAAUUCUUCAUCUUCAAUGACUUUACAGGUCUAUUUCUCAUCUCUUUACAGUGUAUAACAGGUCUAUUUCACAUCUCUUUACAGUAACAGGUCUAUUUAUCAUCUCUUUACAACAUAUCACAGGUCUAUUUCUCAUCUCUUUACAGUGUAUAACAGGUCUAUUUCACAUCUAUUUACAACAUAUCACAGGUCUAUUUCACAUCUCUUUACAACAUAUCACAGGUCUAUUUCUCAUCUCUUUACAACAUAUCACAGGUCUAUUUCACAUCUCUUUACAGUGUAUAACAGGUCUAUUUCACAUCUAUUUACAGUGUAUAACAGGUCUAUUUCACAUCUAUUUACAACAUAUCAC